AACGAACGUUAGCGGCGCGCUUAACACAUGCAAGUCGCACGAGAAAGGGAGCAAUCCCCGGUACAGUGGCGCACGGGUGAGUAACACGUAGGUAAUCAACCCUCGAGUGGGGGAUAACCUUCCGAAAGGGGGCGUAAUACCGCAUAAGACCACGAGUCCGAGAGGACAUGAGGUCAAAGACCGGCCUCUUCAUGAAAGACUGGCGCUUGAGGACGAGUCUGCGGCCCAUCAGCUAGUUGGUAGGGUAACGGGCCUACCAAGGCAUAGACGGGUAGCUGGUCUGAGAGGAUGAUCAGCCACACUGGAACUGAGACACGGUCCAGACUCCUACGGGAGGCAGCAGUGGGGAAGUCUUGCGCAAUGGGCGGAAAGACCUGACGCAGCGACGCCGCGUGGGUGAUGAAGGCCUCGGUU
rnacentral:rRNA from 1 species